CUGGAAAAGGGCGUAUGGGGAAUGCCUAGGCUCUCAGAGGCGAGGAAGGACGUGAUAAGCUGCGAAAAGCUGCGGGGAUCGGCACACACGAUAUGAUCCGCAGGUAUCCGAAUGGGGCAACCCACUAUACUGAAGGUAUAGUAUCCGCAAGGAGGCAAACCCGGGGAACUGAAACAUCUAAGUACCCGGAGGAGAAGAAAACAAAAGUGAUUCCGCUAGUAGUGGCGAGCGAACGCGGA
rnacentral:rRNA from 1 species